rnacentral:rRNA from 1 species
UACGAAGGGGGCGAGCGUUGUUCGGAUUUACUGGGCGUAAAGGGCGCGUAGGCGGCCCUCCUUGUCGCGUGUGAAAGCCCCGGGCUCAACCUGGGAAUUGCGCGCGAAACGGGGGGGCUUGAGUUCGGGAGAGGAGCGUGGAAUUCCCAGUGUAGAGGUGAAAUUCGUAGAUAUUGGGAAGAACACCAGUGGCGAAGGCGGCUCACUGGUCCAUUACUGACGCUGAGGUGCGAAAGCGUGGGGAGCAAACAGG